UAACACAUGCAAGUCGCACGGGCAGCAAUGUCAGUGGCGGACGGNUGAGUAACGCGUAGGAACGUGUCCUGAGGUGGGGGACAACCCCGGGAAACUGGGGCUAAUACCGCAUAUGGGCUGAGGCCCAAAGCCGAGAGGCGCCUUUGGAGCGGCCUGCGUCCGAUUAGGUAGNUGGNGGGGUAAAGGCCUACCAAGCCUGCNAUCGGUAGCUGGUCUGAGAGGACNANCAGCCNNACUGGGACUGAGACACGNCCCAGACUCCUACGGGAGGCANCAGNGGGNAUUAUUGGACANCGGGCGAAAGCCUGAUACAGGCACUGCCGCGUG
rnacentral:rRNA from 1 species